rnacentral:rRNA from 1 species
AGCGAACGCUGGCGGCGUGCUUAACACAUGCAAGUCGAACGUGAAAGGGAGCAAUCCUGAGUAAAGUGGCGUACGGGUGAGUAACGCGUAGGUAAUCUACCCUAGAAUCUGGAAUAACCUGACGAAAGUCGGGCUAAUACUGGAUAGAGCGACGGAAUCCGUAAUUGGGUUUUUCGGGAAAGGGAGCUCGCAAGAGCCUUCGUUCUAGGAUGAGCCUGCGUCCCAUUAGCUAGUUGGCGAGGUAAUAGCUCACCAAGGCAUUGAUGGGUAGCUGGUCUGAGAGGAUGAUCAGCCACACUGGAACUGAAACACGGUCCAGACUCCUACGGGUGGCUG